rnacentral:rRNA from 1 species
AGGGUUCGAUUAUGGCUCAGAUUGAACGCUGGCGGCAGGCUUAACACAUGCAAGUCGAACGGUAACAGGGAUUAGCUUGCUAAUUUGCCGACGAGUGGCGGACGGGUGAGUAAUGCUUGGGAAUCUGGCUUAUGGAGGGGGAUAACUACGGGAAACUGUAGCUAAUACCGCGUAAAAUCUUCGGAUUAAAGGGUGGGACUUUCGGGCCACCUGCCAUGAGAUGAGCCCAAGUGGGAUUAGGUAGUUGGUUAGGUAAAGGCUGACCAAGCCGACGAUCUCUAGCUGGUCUGAGAGGAUGACCAGCCACACUGGAACUGAGACACGGUCCAG